UCUGCAGAUAGAAGUGGGAACUUCUCAGCAAGACACCCUCAUGUCCAGAGUCACACGGGAAGAAAAAUGGGAAGAGUCUAAGCAGAAAUACAGAGAAGCUCAUUCAGCAUGUCUAUUAUUUAGGAUUAUGAAAGCAACACCUACAUGAUGUGUUGGAAUAAUGGUUAGAGCAGCAAGGGACGCUACAUGGUGAAAGAUGCUGAUUCUGGCUUUGGAUUUUCAGCUACAGAUUCACACACACACACACACACACACACACACACACACACACACACUCACACACUCCCCCCUCCUUCCUUUC
rnacentral:lncRNA from 1 species